CUAUUUGUGCUAUUUCUCACAAUGGCUGACAAAGUUCACCAUAAAGUACAGGGGCACAAUGCAAAGUUCACCAAAAACUGAAAGAGCUUGGAAUGAUGUGAAAUAGACAGGAAUGGUGACUGGCUGCUGAAUUUUUUAAACCAUAAUGCCUUUACCAUAUCCCUUCAUAUGAUGUUACAUAGGCAGUAGAAAACAUUGUUAAAUAUCAUUCAAAACGUACAAAAGUGGCAUAUUUAGUGUAAUAGAAUCACUAUAUAGCUCCACUCUUUGAAUUAGGAUUAUGGCCCAACAGGCCCUAAAAUGUUGCUGACAUGUUAUAGUUCAACACUAUGAAAAUUUGCACUAGAAGCAGUUUCAUAGUCUAAGCAAGAUACUAGCUUUUAAAAACUCUCAAAAAACACAGCAAUUGACGUAGAAAUAAUCACCAGCACCAUAAAAAUGUAAAGCAUUUUGCCAAAGAAUAAACCUAUUGCUAAGAGAAAAUGCAGGAGGUUUUUUUUUACCUUGCUAUGCUGUACAGUGCUUUCUCUGUGCUAGCCCCGCCCCCUCCUCGGCAGGCUCAGCCAGGGAAACUCUGUUACCUUGUUGCAACUAGAGCUACACAGGAAGCAGAUGGGCUGAAAACUGCUACAUAACAGCUACGAUUCCAGACUUCACCUGCCUGACCCAUCCUGAAAAAACUGCUUUCAUGUAUUACAGUGAUAAAUUGUCGCAAUGGCUUUCCUCAUCGCUUGGACCGGAUGUCUAUUUUGGAGAAAUCCCAUCUGAUUAGAGGUGCAUCAAGUAUAUCCCUGUCUUGGACUGUGAGUUUAUUCAGGUGGGCCCCUUGAAGAAAUCUCAGACCGUUUUCAGGAGAAUCGGGAACAUGUUUGUAAAGCGCUUUGAAGAGGUCUCUCAUCAAUGCAGCAAUAUCUAAUGUAUCAUGUGCCCACCCUGUAGAUGUUUUAAUUUUCUGAAUGUAUGUAUUUGAUUGCUGUCUUUUAACUAUAUUUGCCAAUAAUUUCCCAGGUUUGUUUCCCUAGCGAUAAUAUCUGUUUGUCGUGUGGCUCAAUUUAUGUUGCAUUUGUUCUGUCAAUAAAGUAUGAAAAAGGGCCUUUGUUUCCUUGUAUUUCUUUUUUGCUGUCUGUGAGUUAGUAGUUUUGAAAUUUUUAUAGGAGCAGGUAAGCUCGUUUUGUAGUAAUCGAUACCUUUCAUUAAAUGAUUUCUUCCGCUUGAUCAUGUAAGAUAUGAUGUGACCUCGCAUUACUGGUUUGGCAGCGGCCCAUAAUAGAUUUUUUUCUUCCCAAUGCACCAAGUUAUCGUCAAUAUAAUUUGCCCAAUUUUGUUUAAGAUAGUUCCUAUAAUCUUCAUUGUGAUACAGAUAUACUGGAAACCUCCAAUUGUGUGAAUGUGGCUUUGGGUUAGAUAAUUCCAAUAUUAAUCUCAUAGGGGCAUGGUCUGAAAUGUCUAUGUUGCCUAUACUGGCAUCUUCUAUCUAGGCUAGGUGAUUAGUUGAGAAAAAGAUAGAAUUGUGUGGGAGUUAUGAACUGCGGAAAAAAAGGUAUAGUCUCUAGUGUCAGGGUAUAAGUAUCUAUAAACGUCUUGUAGUUGGAGGUGGUUACAUAAAGAGUGUAAUGGUUUGAUCCUUCUCGGAAUGUGUGUGUAAGAAGUACCUGAUUUAUCC